rnacentral:misc_RNA from 1 species
GCAAACUUGGUCAUUUAGAGGAAGUAAAAGUCGUAACAAGGUUUCCGUAGGUGAACCUGCGGAAGGAUCAUUAAAAAUUGUUCCAAACUACCGCUUAAACCCUUCUUCAAGGUUUAAGCGGUAGCUUUCUCAACCCUUGUGAAUUGUAUGCUGUGUAAAUCUCUUGAUUGGUCUUGGGUAGUUUCUUGCUGCGGUGUGUUAUCACACAACACGGUAAAGAGACCAAGAUCACUAGAGAUUUUAUUCUAAACUCCACUAAAUUAUAAUUGGGUUUUUAAAUGAUUUGUAAAAGUACACAACUUUCAACAAUGGAUCUCUUGGCUCUUGCAUCGAUGAAGAACGCAGC